GACGAACGCUGGCGGCGUGCCUAACACAUGCAAGUCGAGCGGGGGGAGUACUUCGGUACAAACCUAGCGGCGGACGGGUGAGUAACACGUGGGUAACCUGCCUCAAAGUGGGGGAUAGCCUUCCGAAAGGAAGAUUAAUACCGCAUAACCCAUAGCUUCCGCAUGGAAGCAAUGGUAAAGAUUUAUCGCUUUGAGAUGGACCCGCGGCGCAUUAGCUAGUUGGGGAGGUAACGGCUCACCAAGGCCACGAUGCGUAGCCGACCUGAGAGGGUGGUCGGCCACAUUGGACCUGAGACACGGUCCAGACUCCUACGGGGUGCAGCAGUGGGGAAUAUUGCACAAUGGGCGAAAGCCUGAUGCAGCAACGCCGCGUGAGUGAUGAAGGCCUUCGGGUUGUAAAGCUCUGUCUUUUGGGACGAUAAUGACGGUACCAAAGGAGGAAGCCACGGCUAACUACGUGCCAGCCGCCGCCGUAACAC
rnacentral:rRNA from 1 species